rnacentral:tRNA from 1 species
GGCGUCGCGGUCAGCGGCCGUGAUCGCAAAAAGGUCUUGAAAACCGUCGUGGCAGCGAUGUCACCGUGGGUUCAAAUCCCACCGCCUCCGC